rnacentral:rRNA from 1 species
GACGAACGCUGGCGGCGUGCUUAACACAUGCAAGUCGAACGGAAAGGCCUCUUUCGGGGGGUACUCGAGUGGCGAACGGGUGAGUAACACGUGAGUAACCUGCCCUUGACUUUGGGAUAACUUCAGGAAACUGGGGCUAAUACCGGAUAGGAGCUCCUGCUGCAUGGUGGGGGUUGGAAAGUUUCGGCGGUUGGGGAUGGACUCGCGGCUUAUCAGCUUGUUGGUGGGGUAGUGGCUUACCAAGGCUUUGACGGGUAGCCGGCCUGAGAGGGUGACCGGCCACAUUGGGACUGAGAUACGGCCCAGACGCCUACGGGAGGCAGCAGUGGGGAAUAUUGCACAAUGGGUGGAAGCCUGAUGCAGCAACGCCGGGUGCGGGAUGACGGCCUUCGGGUUGGAAACCGCUUUCGCUCAUGACGAAGCUUUGUGUGACGGUAGUGGGUAAAGAAGCACCGGCUAACUACGUG